CCUACGGGAGGCAGCAGUAGGGAAUCUUCCACAAUGGACGAAAGUCUGAUGGAGCAACGCCGCGUGAGUGAAGAAGUAUUUCGGUAUGUAAAGCUCUAUCAGCAGGGAAGAAAAUGACGGUACCUGACUAAGAAGCCCCGGCUAACUACGUGCCAGCAGCCGCGGUAAUACGUAGGGGGCACGCGUUAUCCGGAUUUACUGGGUGUACAGGGAGCGUAGACGGCAGAGCAAGUCUGAAGUGAAAGCACGCGGCGCA
rnacentral:rRNA from 1 species